rnacentral:rRNA from 1 species
UACAUAGGGUGCGAGCGUUGUUCGGAAUUACUGGGCGUAAAGCGUAUGUAGGCGGCUAAGCAAGUCAGGCGUGCAAGCCCGUGGCUCAACCACGGAAUUGCGUUUGAAACUACUUAGCUUGAGUACAGGAGAGGAAAGCGGAAUUCCCAGUGUAGCGGUGAAAUGCAUUGAUAUUGGGAAGAACAUCUGUGGCGAAGGCGGCUUUCUGGCCUGUUACUGACGCUGAGAUACGAAAGCCAGGGUAGCGAACGGG